rnacentral:rRNA from 1 species
GACGAACGCUGGCGGCGUGCUUAACACAUUCCAGUUGAACGGAAAGGCCCCUUUGGGGGUACUCGAGUGGCGAACGGGUGAGUAACACGUGAGUAACCUGCCCUUUACUUCGGGAUAACUUCAGGAAACUGGGGCUAAUACCGGAUAGGAAUCCUUGCUGCAUGGUGGGGGUUUGAAAGCUUCGGCGGUUUUGGAUGGACUCGCGGCUUAUCAGCUUGUUGGUGGGGUAGUGGCUUACCAAGGCUUUGACGGGUAGCCGGCCUGAGAGGGCGACCGGCCACAUUGGGACUGAGAUACGGCCCAGACUCCUACGGGAGGCAGCAGUGGGGAAUAUUGCACAAUGGGCGGAAGCCUGAUGCAGCAACGCCGCGUGCGGGAUGACGGCCUUCGGGUUGUAAACCGCUUUCAGCAGGGGCGAAGCUUGUGGUGACGGUACCUGCAGAAGAAGCACCGGCUAACUACGUG